GAUGAACGCUGGCGGUGUGCCUAAUACAUGCAAGUCGAGCGAACAGACGAGGAGCUUACUCCUCUGACGUUAGCGGCGGACGGGUGAGUAACACGUGGAUAACCUACCUAUAAGACUGGGAUAACUUCGGGAAACCGGAGCUAAUACCGGAUAACAUGUUGAACCGCAUGGUUCAACAGUGAAAGACGGUCUUGCUGUCACUUAUAGAUGGAUCCGCGUCGCAUUAGCUAGUUGGUAAGGUAACGGCUUACCAAGGCAACGAUGCGUAGCCGACCUGAGAGGGUGGUCGGCCAAACUGGAACUGAGACACGGUCCAGACUCCUACGGGAGGCAGCAGUAGGGAAUCUUCCGCAAUGGGCGAAAGCCUGACGGAGCAACGCCGCGUGAGUGAAGAAGGUCUUCGGAUCGUAAAACUCUGUUAUUAGGGAAGAACAAAUGUGUAAGUAACUAUGCGCGUCUUGACGGUACCUAAUCAGAAAGCCACGGCUAACUACGUG
rnacentral:rRNA from 1 species